UAAAAUUGUUUAUGAACUGCCCUGCAUAGAGUGGAAUGCUUUCUUUAGAAUGUAAAUUUAACCUCCUUAAUAUGUAUACAUAUAAAUUUAAUCUAAUCUUUGUACACCUCGCUAAAUGAUAGUAGAAAACUGGAAGUAAAAGUAUUGUAAGUGAACAAACCAAGCCCUUGGAGUAACCAAACAUGGUUUUAAUGUUUUGUUUUUAAAUUUCUUACAAUGCAUUGACGUUACCAAACAUGUUUUUAUGUUAUUGCUUUUCUAAUUCAUCAAAAAAUUUAUAUUAUUAAGUAUGCUUCCGAUUCAUAUUCAAAACACACUACAGCAAAAAUGACACUUCUAUUUUUGGUCAAAAUAAAAGUACGAAACAAAAUUGGUUGCCAAAUAGAUCCUAAGUUUUCCUGUUCAAAAUUGUUUUAAAAAACACUUUAUGCAUCUUGUCUCCAUUCCGUUUAAGUUCUCUUGCACCCACCCGCCCCACCUUGCCCGGUUUAAAUUAGCACUCAAAAUUUUUUUUCCCUAAUUUUUCAAUCAAAUUUUAAAAUAGUAUGGUCUAAAUAAAGAUUAUUUUAAAAGUUAAAAUAGUUAUACAUUUGCACUGUGGGGCCGGGUGGGUUGCGGGGAGUUUAUUUGGGAGCUACUAGUCCAAAAGGCAUAUAGUUGCUAGAGUUCCUGCAUCAUAAAAACAAUAAUAAUAAUAAUAAUAAUAAAAAUAAUAAAAAUAAAAAAGAAGAAGAAGGACAAUUUUGUCUAUAACAUAAGGGAUAGGGGUCAAAUAGUAUUUUUGGUAUUUUGAUUCAGCAGGGCAUGUGAGUUUCACAAGUUAGUGAAUGGGAUCUGGUGCAGAGGAUCGAGCUCUACUCUUAUAAAAGAGGGUCGAAAUUGAAAGCUGGCUUUGGAGUUGCUCGGAGGUGAGAAUUCUCGCGGAGAAGGGUUUCACAUUUCUAGGUGGAAUCAACAAGCAAAGCUUCGCCGGAUCUAGGUGGAAUUUACUUCACAAGCAGCAAAACAUCGCAUUAAUCAAGAGACUACACUUGUGACGCUCGAACAAGGUUCGCAGCCCUUUCCAAGAAAUCGAUGAAUGCAGAUAUAAGCUGUACUUCUGCAAGCAUUCCCCCUACGAGGAAGCACUGACUACAGACUCUUGAUUGUUCUUCCACUAGCAUUUCACGGAGUGAUAUUGAUAGCCAGUCUAUUAGCACCUUGAAAGAGACUCAAAAGAGGAAUGUGUCCAUUCUUUACUUGUUUUCCAGAUAUAAGAGUUCUCGAAAAGCUCAAGAUCACCCAAUGAGGCAAUGGCGAUAGACUAAGCAACGGAAGGAAUGUGUCACUACUAAUGAGAUUGUGAAUUUUUUCGUAGAAUUUGAAUGUAUAACUAUUGAGAUUGUGAAUUUAUUUGGCAGUUCGGUUUCAUAGACAAAACCGAUUCUUAGUUCUCUUUUCAAAAUCCCACCGUGAUGAGUGGGUUCAAACAUGUAAACCAAUUUAUGGCUCUUAAAUAUUGUUUCUUGUUGCAAAUAAAUUCUUUGCU